GACGAACGCUGGCGGCGUGCUUAACACAUGCAAGUCGAACGGAAAGGCCCUGCUUUUGUGGGGUGCUCGUGUGGCGAACGGGUGUGUAACACGUGAGUAUCCUGCCCUUGACUUUGGGAUAUCUUCAGGAAACUGGGGCUAAUACCGGAUAGGAGCUCCUGCUGCAUGGUGGGGGUUGGAAAGUUUCGGCGGUGGGGGAUGGACUCGCGGCUUAUCCGCUGCUUGGUGUGGUAGUGGCUUACCAAGCCUUUGACGGGUAGCCGGCCUGAGAGGGGGACCGGCGACCAGGGGACUGCGAUACGGCGCAGACGGCUACGGGAGGCAGCAGGGGGGAGUAUGGCAGAAUGGGCGGACGCCUGUGGCGGCAACGCCGCGUGCGGGAUGACGGCCUUCGGGUUGUAAACCGCUGUGGCCUGUAAUGAGGCGUGCGUGACGGUAACGGGUAAAGAAGCACCGGCUAACUACGUG
rnacentral:rRNA from 1 species